GGGCCCGUAGCCCAGCUGGAUAGGGCGGCGUCGAUACAAGCCGCAGGUCCCGGGUUCGAAUCCCGGCGGGCCCG
rnacentral:tRNA from 3 species